rnacentral:lncRNA from 1 species
UCUGUACAAAUACAUGUCCACACUAGCUAUUACAAAACUCUGUACUCUUCCUGUACCCUGCUGAGUUCUCUCUGAUCUCUGAACCUGCACAACUGAAGUUAGGGGAGAGGGAUGAGCUACAAUAGCCCAGUGAGUAGAAUAGGCAAAUACAGGUGAUAAAACAUGCUCUCAUGGAAUGCAACACAGAAUCACAUCACCUCGGCCGGACGGAUCAAAACUCCCUCUAUCUCAUCUGGGGUACCUAAGUACCAUUUGCCUGGUCCCCGUAGGGCUGUUCCAGGUCUUUAUGCCUGGUCCUCGUAAGGCUGUUCCAGGUCUUUCCUCUGAGGGCUAAUGAAUCCUCACGAAGUCCGUGCCGUCUCACAUAAGCAAUGUACAAGGAGCCAUGCCAAGUACAAGGAUAAAUGCAAUGCAUCAUCUUUGUGUACACUAAUGCACUCACCCUAAAGCAUAUUCAUGAUGCAUGAAGUAUGAUAAAAUAUCAGUUUUCAUAUUAAAACAUUAAGUUAAAUUCCACUCACCUGUAGUUCUCUCUGAACUAACUCUGCAGGUUCUGACUCUGGACUCACUGCUGAUGUCCCUGAUUCCUCUGGUCCGUACCUACACAGGUGGACUCAAAUGAGGGACUAAACUCACUCAAGAACAUCUCUAAGAAACUCCCCAAAACCCCUCUAA